CAGCACCUCAAGUGGUCAGGAUGAUUAUUGGGCCUAAAGCAUCCGUAGCCGGCGCUGUAAGUUUUCGGUUAAAUCUGUACGCUCAACGUACAGGCUGCCGGGAAUACUGCAGCGCUAGGGAGUGGGAGAGGUAGACGGUACUCGGUAGGAAGGGGUAAAAUCCUUUGAUCUAUUGAUGACCACCUGUGGCGAAGGCGGUCUACCAGAACACGUCCGACGGUGAGGGAUGAAAGCUGGGGGAGCAAACCGGAUUAGAGACCCGUGUAUCC
rnacentral:rRNA from 1 species